rnacentral:rRNA from 1 species
UUAAGCGACUAAGCGUACACGGUGGAUGCCCUGGCAGUCAGAGGCGAUGAAGGACGUGCUAAUCUGCGAUAAGCGUCGGUAAGGUGAUAUGAACCGUUAUAACCGGCGAUUUCCGAAUGGGGAAACCCAGUGUGAUUCGUCACACUAUCAUUAACUGAAUCCAUAGGUUAAUGAGGCGAACCGGGGGAACUGAAACAUCUAAGUACCCCGAGGAAAAGAAAUCAACCGAGAUUCCCCCAGUAGCGGCGAGCGAACGGGGAGCAGCCCAGAGCCUGAAUCAGUGUGUGUGUUAGUGGAAGCGUCUGGAAAGGCGCGCGAUACAGGGUGACAGCCCCGUACACAGAAAUGCACAUAUUGUGAGCUCGAUGAGUAGGGCGGGACACGUGGUAUCCUGUCUGAAUAUGGGGGGACCAUCCUCCAAGGCUAAAUACUCCUGACUGACCGAUAGUGAACCAGUACCGUGAGGGAAAGGCGAAAAGAACCCCGGCGAGGGGAGUGAAAAAGAACCUGAAACCGUGUACGUACAAGCAGUGGGAGCCUCUUUUAUGGGGUGACUGCGUACCUUUUGUAUAAUGGGUCAGCGACUUAUAUUCUGUAGCAAGGUUAACCGAAUAGGGGAGCCGAAGGGAAACCGAGUCUUAACUGGGCGUUAAGUUGCAGGGUAUAGACCCGAAACCCGGUGAUCUAGCCAUGGGCAGGUUGAAGGUUGGGUAACACUAACUGGAGGACCGAACCGACUAAUGUUGAAAAAUUAGCGGAUGACUUGUGGCUGGGGGUGAAAGGCCAAUCAAACCGGGAGAUAGCUGGUUCUCCCCGAAAGCUAUUUAGGUAGCGCCUCGUGAAUUCAUCUCCGGGGGUAGAGCACUGUUUCGGCAAGGGGGUCAUCCCGACUUACCAACCCGAUGCAAACUGCGAAUACCGGAGAAUGUUAUCACGGGAGACACACGGCGGGUGCUAACGUCCGUCGUGAAGAGGGAAACAACCCAGACCGCCAGCUAAGGUCCCAAAGUCAUGGUUAAGUGGGAAACGAUGUGGGAAGGCCCAGACAGCCAGGAUGUUGGCUUAGAAGCAGCCAUCAUUUAAAGAAAGCGUAAUAGCUCACUGGUCGAGUCGGCCUGCGCGGAAGAUGUAACGGGGCUAAACCAUGCACCGAAGCUGCGGCAGCGACGCUUAUGCGUUGUUGGGUAGGGGAGCGUUCUGUAAGCCUGUGAAGGUGUGCUGUGAGGCAUGCUGGAGGUAUCAGAAGUGCGAAUGCUGACAUAAGUAACGAUAAAGCGGGUGAAAAGCCCGCUCGCCGGAAGACCAAGGGUUCCUGUCCAACGUUAAUCGGGGCAGGGUGAGUCGACCCCUAAGGCGAGGCCGAAAGGCGUAGUCGAUGGGAAACAGGUUAAUAUUCCUGUACUUGGUGUUACUGCGAAGGGGGGACGGAGAAGGCUAUGUUGGUCGGGCGACGGUUGUCCCGGUUUAAGCGUGUAGGCUGGUUUUCCAGGCAAAUCCGGAAAAUCAAGGCUGAGGCGUGAUGACGAGGCACUACGGUGCUGAAGCAACAAAUGCCCUGCUUCCAGGAAAAGCCUCUAAGCAUCAGGUAACAUCAAAUCGUACCCCAAACCGACACAGGUGGUCAGGUAGAGAAUACCAAGGCGCUUGAGAGAACUCGGGUGAAGGAACUAGGCAAAAUGGUGCCGUAACUUCGGGAGAAGGCACGCUGGUAUGUAGGUGAAGUCCCUCGCGGAUGGAGCUGAAAUCAGUCGAAGAUACCAGCUGGCUGCAACUGUUUAUUAAAAACACAGCACUGUGCAAACACGAAAGUUGGACGUAUACGGUGUGACGCCUGCCCGGUGCCGGAAGGUUAAUUGAUGGGGUCAGCGCAAGCGAAGCUCUUGAUCGAAGCCCCGGUAAACGGCGGCCGUAACUAUAACGGUCCUAAGGUAGCGAAAUUCCUUGUCGGGUAAGUUCCGACCUGCACGAAUGGCGUAAUGAUGGCCAGGCUGUCUCCACCCGAGACUCAGUGAAAUUGAACUCGCUGUGAAGAUGCAGUGUACCCGCGGCAAGACGGAAAGACCCCGUGAACCUUUACUAUAGCUUGACACUGAACAUUGAGCCUUGAU